UUAAAUUGAAGAGUUUGAUCAUGGCUCAGAUUGAACGCUGGCGGCAGGCCUAACACAUGCAAGUCGAACGGUAACAGGAAGCAGCUUGCUGCUUUGCUGACGAGUGGCGGACGGGUGAGUAAUGUCUGGGAAACUGCCUGAUGGAGGGGGAUAACUACUGGAAACGGUGGCUAAUACCGCAUAACGUCGCAAGACCAAAGAGGGGGACCUUCGGGCCUCUUGCCAUCAGAUGUGCCCAGAUGGGAUUAGCUUGUUGGUGAGGUAACGGCUCACCAAGGCGACGAUCCCUAGCUGGUCUGAGAGGAUGACCAGCCACACUGGAACUGAGACACGGUCCAGACUCCUACGGGAGGCAGCAGUGGGGAAUAUUGCACAAUGGGCGCAAGCCUGAUGCAGCCAUGCCGCGUGUAUGAAGAAGGCCUUCGGGUUGUAAAGUACUUUCAGCGGGGAGGAAGGUGUUGUGGUUAAUAACCGCAGCAAUUGACGUUACCCGCAGAAGAAGCACCGGCUAACUCCGUGCCAGCAGCCGCGGUAAUACGGAGGGUGCAAGCGUUAAUCGGAAUUACUGGGCGUAAAGCGCACGCAGGCGGUCUGUCAAGUCGGAUGUGAAAUCCCCGGGCUCAACCUGGGAACUGCAUUCGAAACUGGCAGGCUUGAGUCUUGUAGAGGGGGGUAGAAUUCCAGGUGUAGCGGUGAAAUGCGUAGAGAUCUGGAGGAAUACCGGUGGCGAAGGCGGCCCCCUGGACAAAGACUGACGCUCAGGUGCGAAAGCGUGGGGAGCAAACAGGAUUAGAUACCCUGGUAGUCCACGCCGUAAACGAUGUCUACUUGGAGGUUGUGCCCUUGAGGCGUGGCUUCCGGAGCUAACGCGUUAAGUAGACCGCCUGGGGAGUACGGCCGCAAGGUUAAAACUCAAAUGAAUUGACGGGGGCCCGCACAAGCGGUGGAGCAUGUGGUUUAAUUCGAUGCAACGCGAAGAACCUUACCUGGUCUUGACAUCCACGGAAGUUUUCAGAGAUGAGAAUGUGCCUUCGGGAACCGUGAGACAGGUGCUGCAUGGCUGUCGUCAGCUCGUGUUGUGAAAUGUUGGGUUAAGUCCCGCAACGAGCGCAACCCUUAUCCUUUGUUGCCAGCGGUUAGGCCGGGAACUCAAAGGAGACUGCCAGUGAUAAACUGGAGGAAGGUGGGGAUGACGUCAAGUCAUCAUGGCCCUUACGACCAGGGCUACACACGUGCUACAAUGGCGCAUACAAAGAGAAGCGACCUCGCGAGAGCAAGCGGACCUCAUAAAGUGCGUCGUAGUCCGGAUUGGAGUCUGCAACUCGACUCCAUGAAGUCGGAAUCGCUAGUAAUCGUGGAUCAGAAUGCCACGGUGAAUACGUUCCCGGGCCUUGUACACACCGCCCGUCACACCAUGGGAGUGGGUUGCAAAAGAAGUAGGUAGCUUAACCUUCGGGAGGGCGCUUACCACUUUGUGAUUCAUGACUGGGGUGAAGUCGUAACAAGGUAACCGUAGGGGAACCUGCGGUUGGAUCACCUCCUUACCUGAAAGAAGC
rnacentral:rRNA from 1 species